UCCGAAGGGGGCUAGCGUUGCUCGGAAUUACUGGGCGUAAAGCGCACGUAGGCGGCUUUCUAAGUCGGGGGUGAAAUCCUGGAGCUCAACUCCAGAACUGCCUUCGAUACUGGAGAGCUCGAGUCCGGGAGAGGUGAGUGGAACUGCGAGUGUAGAGGUGAAAUUCGUAGAUAUUCGCAAGAACACCAGUGGCGAAGGCGGCUCACUGGCCCGGUACUGACGCUGAGGUGCGAAAGCGUGGGGAGCAAACAGG
rnacentral:rRNA from 1 species